UGAUCAGGACCUGAUCCCAAGCCUAUUGUAGUCAAUGGGAGUCUUUCCAUUGACAUCAGUGGGCUUGGGAUCAAAGGUCCUGAAUA
rnacentral:pre_miRNA from 1 species